ACAUCUAACCUACAGAGCUACAAGAUAAGAAAAUAUUUUAAGCUACUGUGCUCAUGGAGAUGUGUUAGAGCCAAUAGUAAAUGAAUGCAAGGAACCCGUGAAAUCCCUGAGUCCCAGAGCUAAACACAUGGGCCCGGCCCGGGAGUCCGAGAAGGAAGAAGACGCAGAGGGAAGAAGACAGUUGAAGCCCCAGCUCUUGUUCAGCGUCCAGCACUCCUCAAACCACUGGGCUGAAAUUCUACACAUCCUUCAAUACUCUACUCAAAGGCCAUUUGCAGAGCUUUCCUUACACCCCUCAGCUAUGGAACUUUCACGUAUCAGGCCCAGGGCCGGGCAGUUUUCAUGUACCAUCCUACUUAGUGUUCAUAACAUCUCCAUGAAGCCUGUUGGUUUCUCCACUUUCAGAUAAGGAAACACAGGCUCUGCGAUGUAUAGUGUGCUCUAGAUAUUCAAAGGGAACCAUUUGCCAAGUCUGUGGACACAAGGACAAGACUGAGACACAAACAAGUGUUUCUUCUCAGCCAAUAAUAGCUUUUAAUACCAUCUGGAAACCUACACCAGUUAAGAAAGAAACAAAUAUGCCUUUUUUGCUUUCUUUAUAAGACCUCAAAGCUUGUAAAUCUUGGAUGUGUUGGGGAGGGAAAUGAAGAGAGUUCCAAAAUAGGGGCCUCCAGAAAAUUCAAGCCCCCUGGCAACCAAGACCUCAGAUUUGUCCAGGCAAUCAGAGAGCAUGGUUAUGCCAAUCUCAGUGGCUCAGGAACAAAACAAAGGUCGCUGCUAUCUCUGUUCACCCUGAAAGAGCUUCACAGUGACCUAAUUUAGAGUUCAGUCCAACCCUGUAAAUUACUACGAUAUUUUUAUUGAUACCAUGAAAAUGUACCCUCAUCUCUCUAUUGUCACAAAAACAUGUUGUUGAAACACUUAAAAUAUCUUGGCACACUUUGAAAGUGCUUUUUACAAAAUAGACAUGAAAUUAAUGGUGCAUUUCAGUCAACACGUUCUUCACAGUGCUUUCUUUCCCUUCCUCAAAGCCACGGAAUAAAACAAAGUG